UCUUUGUUUAUUUUAAAUGCUGUCAUUGGUUUUUAUUUAUUUCCAACUUAUUAACAAAAUGAACUUGGUCUACAUUGUUUUGUUCACUUGAAUAAAACGACAUUUUUGUAUCGUACUCUGGGUUCUUGAAGACCACGCUGUCUUUUAACUUUAUUCUUUAUUUUCUGCAUAUACUGUUCUUUAUUCAUUUCUUUAUUCUUUGAGGCGGUUCUCCUGCCAUUCAGUGUUCCUAGUGCAGAGUCUGCAUUUCUGUGUCCUAUCUUUAGUUGGUUACUGCUUUAUAUUGUUGACCUCUAGGCUUUUGUGCACUUGCUUUUACUUCAACUGGUCAUACUUGUUUGAUUCAAUUCACCUGUGUCUUGUUUCUCCCAGCUGCGUCCUCUCUCCCUAAUCAACUUGCGCAAGUUCUUAAGCCUUCAGCUUUCCUCAGCUCUCUACUCUGUUGUUAUGUUUCAAGCUGUACACUUUGUUUGUCUACCUUAUGGCUUCCUGUGCGUUAGUUUUGGAACUUUUUUCUCCUCACUGUGGUUUUGCCGCACCCAUAUUUAAGCUUUGGAGUUUUCCGCCAACAGCACCGGGGUGGACCAGUGCGCAGGCGAAGAGGCGGGAGAACCACACAUCGCCAGUUAACUUUUAAGGUGUCAGUUCUAAGGAAUCCGACACUGACCCACUACCGAUCUCAUCGGGAUGCCACUCCUGCUACUCGGGUGGUCGUUCCUGUAAACCUAAAUGCCGCUGAAUUCAUGCAGGCACUACGGGACAAUAUUGCAGACAUACCUUUGCAGUUCGACCUAUGCAAAGUGAAUGGACAGC